rnacentral:rRNA from 1 species
CCUACGGGUGGCAGCAGUGGGGAAUAUUGCACAAUGGGGGAAACCCUGAUGCAGCGACGCCGCGUGAGUGAAGAAGUAAUUCGUUACGUAAAGCUCUAUCAGCAGGGAAGAAACACUGACCUUACGGUCAGCAGACGGUACCUGAGUAAGAAGCCCCGGCUAACUAAGUGACAGCAGCCGCGGGAAUACGUAGGGGGCAAGCGUUAUCCGGAUGUUCUGGGGGUAAAGGGAGCGUAGACGGUGCGCCAAGUCGGGAGUGAAAUGCCGCAGCUUAACUGCGGAACUGCUUUGGAAACUGGCGAACUAGAGUGCGGGAGGGGUAAGCGGAAUGCCUAGGGUAGCGGUGAAAUGCGUAGAUAGUAGGAGGAACACCGGUGGCGAAGGCGGCUUACUGGACCGUAACUGACGUUGAGGCUCGAAAGCGUGGGUAGCAAACAGGAUUAGAUACCCCUGUAGUC